rnacentral:rRNA from 1 species
GAUGAACGCUGGCGGCGUGCCUAAUACAUGCAAGUCGAGCGAACGGACGAGAAGCUUGCUCCUCUGAUGUUAGCGGCUGACGGGUGAGUAACACGUGGAUAACCUACCUAUAAGACUUGGAUAACUUCGUGAAACCGGAGCUAAUACCGCAUCAUAUUUUGAACCGCAUGGUUCAAAAGUGAAAGACGGUCUUCCUGUCACUUAUAGAUGGAUCCGCGCUGCAUUAGCUAGUUGGUAAGGUAACGGCUUACCAAGGCGACGAUGCAUAGCCGACCUGAGAGGAUGAUCGGCCACACUGGAACUGAGACACGGUCCAGACUCCUACGGGAGGCAGCAGUAGGGAAUCUUCCGCAAUGGGCGAAAGCCUGACGGAGCAACGCCGCGUGAGUGAUGAAGGUCUUCGGAUCGUAAAGCUCUGUUAUUAGGGAAGAACAUCUGUGGAAGUAACUGUCGCCGUCUUGACGGUACCUAAUCAGAAAGCCACGGCUAACUACGUG